rnacentral:lncRNA from 1 species
GGAAAGGGUGGAGCACAACGUCGAAAGCAGCCGUUGGGAGCCCAGGAGGCGGGGCGCCUGUGGGAGCCGUGGAGGGAACUUUCCCAGUCCCCGAGGCGGAUCCGGUGUUGCAUCCUUGGAGCGAGCUGAGAGCUCGAGAACCUGCUAAGGCCAUCAAACCUAUUGAUCGGAAGUCAGUCCAUCAGAUUUGCUCUGGGCCGGUGGUACCGAGUCUAAGCACUGCGGUGAAGGAGUUAGUAGAAAACAGUCUGGAUGCUGGUGCCACUAAUAUUGAUCUAAAGCUUAAGGACUAUGGAGUGGAUCUCAUUGAAGUUUCAGGCAAUGGAUGUGGGGUAGAAGAAGAAAACUUCGAAGGCUUAAAAACGUGCCUGCUUCCCCUUCGCCUUCUGCCGUGAUUGUCAGUUUCCUGAGGCCUCCCCAGCCAUGCUUCCUGUACAGCCUGCAGAACUGACUCCUAGAAGUACCCCACCCCACCCCUGCUCCUUGGAGGACAACGUGAUCACUGUAUUCAGCUCUGUCAAGAAUGGUCCAGGUUCUUCUAGAUGAUCUGCACAAAUGGCUCCUCUCCUCCUUCCUGAUGUCUGCCAUUAGCACUGGAAUAAAGUUCCUGCUGAAAAUCCACA